UCUAGCGAGACUGCCACCGUAAGGUGUGAGGAAGGUGGGGAUGACGGUCAAAUCAGCACGGCCCUUAUGUCCAGGGCUACACACGUGUUACAAUGGCCGAUACAAAGGGCAGCUACCAGGUGACUGGAUGCUAAUCUCCAAAGUCGGUCUCAGUUCGGAUCGAAGUCUGCAACCCGACUUCGUGAAGCUGGAUUCGCUAGUAAUCGCAUAUCAGCCAUGAUGCGGUGAAUACGUUCCCGGGCCUU
rnacentral:rRNA from 1 species